UUGUGCAAAUCAGCUUGAAGUUAGAAUUUUGAGAUGACACAUUUUCGCACGAAAUAUAUAUUUUCCGUUCAUCUUCUCUGGCAAUCAUUUUCAUUUGAAGUUAUAUUCGAACGAGAUUACACAUAAGUUAAGUUUUCGACAUGGUGAGAAGUUUACCCAUUGAAACACUUAUGGUGUGUCUCUUCUUCUCUGGGGAUCGGCUAUGGUGGGUCUGUAUGUGGUGUGGAUAUUCGAACGAGAUUACAAAACAGUACAGGAUAUUAUUCUAGGGAGAAAACCCUAAGGGAAGGGUGGGGGCUGCAUCUAAGGGGAAGGAAAGGGGAAGGGGAAGGUGGGUGGCUGAGAAAAGGGGAAUGGAAGGGUAAGCUUUUAUUUUUUUAAAUCCGUUAUGUUUUGUAAAUA